rnacentral:lncRNA from 1 species
GUUUAGCAAGCUACAUGGUACUAGUGCUUCAAAAAAACCUUGCCUCGCUUCUAGCAGCGGCGUGCUGCUUCGGCUGUGGAGGAGCCGUGUUGGCUCGCUGCUCAAAUGCGCCGUUCCUCUGAACCUGGGGAAGCGAUCGAAGGGUUGCGAGUUCCUCUGGGACCACAACGUGAAGCUUCUUGGGAAACUUGCUUUGCUUAUCCCUCCUUGCUGAUGGCUUGUAAAUGGAAAAAAUACAGAGUAAAUGGCCUGAAAGCUAAGGUGCCAAGUUUAAAAUAGCACUUUAGCCACAUCUGUAUGGAUGUUAAAUUGUAACGUGGCUCCUGUUAAGCAGGAGCAAAGGAGAAGCUGAGGCGUGUUCUUUCAAACAGCUGGUUAAUUCUCCUCGGUGGAUGACUUCUGCUGGACGUAGUUCAGAUCACUUUGCAGGUCUGGUCGCUAUCCCCUGCAUUCAGGGGAUACCUAAAGAUGUGAUGCACCAGCCACUAGCCGCAGGAGUAGCGGAAUGUGCUUCGCUGGGUUUCCUCUUCUACUCUUCAGCUGUUGCGUUCAAAACGAAGCCUCUCGUUGGGUUUGUUUGUACAGCGCUCGGCAUUGUGGCACCCAGAUCUCAGCCAGGGUCUCUGCUCGCUGCCUGAAGGCUGACGGUGAAGGAAAAAAACCAACAGCUCUUACAAGUGGAAAGGCAUGGAAAACCAGAAUCUGGUCUUCUCACUGAAACAGAAAAAUUUUGUCUUAAGCAGGAACAGCUACUAAUCUAGACAGAGGUUUUACAGUGCAGCCAGAAAAAUAAAUGAGAAUUAAGAGGACUCUGAGGCCA